AUUGAACGCUGGCGGCAGGCCUAACACAUGCAAGUCGAGCGGAUGAAGGGAGCUUGCUCCUGGAUUCAGCGGCGGACGGGUGAGUAAUGCCUAGGAAUCUGCCUGGUAGUGGGGGAUAACGUCCGGAAACGGGCGCUAAUACCGCAUACGUCCUGAGGGAGAAAGUGGGGGAUCUUCGGACCUCACGCUAUCAGAUGAGCCUAGGUCGGAUUAGCUAGUUGGUGGGGUAAAGGCCUACCAAGGCGACGAUCCGUAACUGGUCUGAGAGGAUGAUCAGUCACACUGGAACUGAGACACGGUCCAGACUCCUACGGGGGGCAGCAGUGGGGAAUAUUGGACAAUGGGCGAAAGCCUGAUCCAGCCAUGCCGCGUGUGUGAAGAAGGUCUUCGGAUUGUAAAGCACUUUAAGUUGGGAGGAAGGGAAGUAAGUUAAUACCUUGCUGUUUUGACGUUACCAACAGAAUAAGCACCGGCUAACUUCGUG
rnacentral:rRNA from 1 species